AGGAAAACAAUUAUUUUACUUACUCUAGAACAGCGAUGAGACUCUCUCGACAAUCUGAUAACUGACUGGGGCUCAGAGGACAAGAUGCUGAAAAGAAACAAUAAUGUGUGGGGCGCCUGGGUGGCUCAGUCAGUUAAGCAUCUGAC